AUUGAACGCUGGCGGCAGGCUUAACACAUGCAAGUCGAGCGGGGGAAGGUAGCUUGCUACCGGACCUAGCGGCGGACGGGUGAGUAAUGCUUAGGAAUCUGCCUAUUAGUGGGGGACAACAUCUCGAAAGGGAUGCUAAUACCGCAUACGUCCUACGGGAGAAAGCAGGGGAUCUUCGGACCUUGCGCUAAUAGAUGAGCCUAAGUCGGAUUAGCUAGUUGGUGGGGUAAAGGCCUACCAAGGCGACGAUCUGUAGCGGGUCUGAGAGGAUGAUCCGCCACACUGGGACUGAGACACGGCCCAGACGCCUACGGGAGGCAGCAGUGGGGAAUAUUGGACAAUGGGGGGAACCCUGAUCCAGCCAUGCCGCGUGUGUGAAGAAGGCCUUAUGGUUGUAAAGCACUUUAAGCGAGGAGGAGGCUACUUUAGUUAAUACCUAGAGAUAGUGGACGUUACUCGCAGAAUAAGCACCGGCUAACUCUGUG
rnacentral:rRNA from 1 species